CCUACGGGGGGCAGCAGUGAGGAAUAUUGGUCAAUGGUCGGGAGACUGAACCAGCCAAGCCGCGUGAGGGAGGAAGGUACAGAGUAUCGUAAACCUCUUUUGCCGGGGAGCAAAAAGCGGUACGUGUACCGCAUCGAGAGUACCCGGAGAAAAAGCAUCGGCUAACUCCGUGCCAGCAGCCGCGGUAAUACGGAGGAUGCGAGCGUUAUCCGGAUUUAUUGGGUUUAAAGGGUGCGCAGGCGGCGAGUUAAGUCAGCGGUAAAAUUUCGGGGCUCAACCCCGACAAGCCGUUGAAACUGGCUUGC
rnacentral:rRNA from 1 species